CAAAAAGCUCCUCUAGGAGCUACUUUUUUGUUCUGAAAAGUAGAAG
rfam:Struthio camelus australis contig17295, whole genome shotgun sequence.